ensembl:piRNA 21ur-2654 ncRNA
UAUUCAUAAUUUGUACAGAAA